rnacentral:rRNA from 1 species
UCCUACGGGGGGCAGCAGUGGGGGAUAUUGCACAAUGGGGGGAACCCUGAUGCAGCGACGCCGCGUGGGUGAAGAAGUAUUUCGGUAUGUAAAGCCCUAUCGGCAGGGAAGAAAUUGGACGGUACCUGACUAAGAAGCCCCGGCUAACUACGUGCCAGCAGCCGCGGUAAUACGUAGGGGGCAAGCGUUAUCCGGAUUCACUGGGUGUAAAGGGGGCGUAGACGGCCAUGCAAGCCUGGAGUGAAAGCCCGGGGCCCAACCCCGGGACUGCUCUGG